rnacentral:rRNA from 1 species
UAUGAGAGUUUGAUCCUGGCUCAGGACGAACGCUGGCGGCGUGCCUAAUACAUGCAAGUCGAACGCUUCUUUUUCCACCGGAGCUUGCUCCACCGGAAAAAGAGGAGUGGCGAACGGGUGAGUAACACGUGGGUAACCUGCCCAUCAGAAGGGGAUAACACUUGGAAACAGGUGCUAAUACCGUAUAACAAUCAAAACCGCAUGGUUUUGAUUUGAAAGGCGCUUUCGGGUGUCGCUGAUGGAUGGACCCGCGGUGCAUUAGCUAGUUGGUGAGGUAACGGCUCACCAAGGCCACGAUGCAUAGCCGACCUGAGAGGGUGAUCGGCCACAUUGGGACUGAGACACGGCCCAAACUCCUACGGGAGGCAGCAGUAGGGAAUCUUCGGCAAUGGACGAAAGUCUGACCGAGCAACGCCGCGUGAGUGAAGAAGGUUUUCGGAUCGUAAAACUCUGUUGUUAGAGAAGAACAAGGAUGAGAGUAACUGUUCAUCCCUUGACGGUAUCUAACCAGAAAGCCACGGCUAACUACGUGCCAGCAGCCGCGGUAAUACGUAGGUGGCAAGCGUUGUCCGGAUUUAUUGGGCGUAAAGCGAGCGCAGGCGGUUCAACUACAUAAUUACGCAUAAAUAGAACUGUUUCUUUCAAAAAUUCAUUUCCGUCGAGACUUGAGUGCAGAAGAGGAGAGUGGAAUUCCAUGUGUAGCGGUGAAAUGCGUAGAUAUAUGGAGGAACACCAGUGGCGAAGGCGGCUCUCUGGUCUGUAACUGACGCUGAGGCUCGAAAGCGUGGGGAGCAAACAGGAUUAGAUACCCUGGUAGUCCACGCCGUAAACGAUGAGUGCUAAGUGUUGGAGGGUUUCCGCCCUUCAGUGCUGCAGCUAACGCAUUAAGCACU